GAGGGGCUCGCGGCCUAUCAGCUUGUUGGUGGGGUAACGGCCUACCAAGGCUCCGACGGGUAGCUGGUCUGAGAGGACGACCAGCCACACUGGGACUGAGACACGGCCCAGACUCCUACGGGAGGCAGCAGUGGGGAAUCUUGCGCAAUGGGCGAAAGCCUGACGCAGCAACGCCGCGUGGGGGACGAAGGCCUUCGGGUUGUAAACCCCUUUCAGCAGGGACGAACAUGACGGUACCUGCAGAAGAAGCCCCGGCCAACUACGUGCCAGCAGCCGCGGUAAUACGUAGGGGGCGAGCGUUGUCCGGAUUUAUUGGGCGUAAAGAGCUCGUAGGCGGUUUGGCAAGUCGGGUGUGAAAACUCCGGGCUCAACUCGGAGACGCCACUCGAUACUGCUAUGACUCGAGUCCGGUAGGGGAGUGCGGAAUUCCUGGUGUAGCGGUGAAAUGCGCAGAUAUCAGGAGGAACACCGGUGGCGAAGGCGGCACUCUGGGCCGGUACUGACGCUGAGGAGCGAAAGCGUGGGGAGCGAACAGGAUUAGAUACCCUGGUAGUCCACGCCGUAAACGUUGGGCACUAGGUGU
rnacentral:rRNA from 1 species